rnacentral:rRNA from 1 species
GACGAACGCUGGCGGCGUGCUUAACACAUGCAAGUCGAACGGAAAGGCCCUGCUUUUGUGGUGUUCUCGAGUGGCGAACGGGUGAGUAACACGUGAGUAACCUGCCCUUGACUUUGGGAUAACUUCAGGAAACUGGGGCUAAUCCCGGAUAGGACCUCCUGCUGCAUGUUGGUGGUUGGAAAGUUUCGGCGGUUGGGGAUGGGCUCGCGGCUUAUCAGUUUGUUGGUGGGGUAGUGGCUUACCAAGGCUUUGACGGGUAGCCGGCCGGGGAGGGUGACCGGCACCAUUGGAACUGAGUUACGGCCAAGACUCCUACGGGAGGCAGCAGUGGGGAAUAUUGCAAAAUGGGCGGAAGCCUGAUGCAGCAACGCCGCUUGCGGGAUGACGGCCUUCGGGUUGUAAACCGUUUUCGCCUGUGACGAAGCGUGAGUGACGGUAAUGGGUAAAGAAGCACCGGCUAACUACGUG